CGGCAGAUGCGACACUCCAUCACUAGCAUCACAGCGAGGAAAGGAAGUGUGAGGCAUGCCAAGAAGGCAGGACUGUGCUGUCACAUCACUCCUGGUGGCCUCUGCGGACCAGGGGACACCCUGACAUAUGUGCAUUUGCAUCACAUCACAUUGUAAAACUCUUGGGGAAAAAAGUCGAAUAAGGUGGACAUCUUAUACACAAUGCAACUUUUGUAUCGAUUUCUCUCUCCAACUUCAUAUUUCACAUUACAUUUAGGGAAGUAAAAUAAAGAAGAAGAGGAAGAGCCAGAGGCUGGAGAAGGAGGAAGACCAGGCUGGGAGGAGAAAGGCUUUGGUAGACAUCUGUGUUGUGUCCCAGCCGGUACUUAUAUGGGAGAAUAGCCCACCAGGGGAGGAGUCACGGCCAUGUAGAGGCGUGAGAUCAAAGACAGAGAGCUCCUCUCUGCAGGGCUGGGGAGCCGUAGCCUGCUGGACAUGGGGAGAAGACCAACAGGUCCUGGCCCUGUUUCCUUAUUUGCAAUAUCAGGAGGUAUCGGGCCAUGUACUAAGACUUCCCAGAUGUGGAAUAAUCUCCUUGGCCUCCAAAUGCCAGAAGCUGAGGUUGGGACUUCAUUAUUACAUUCAUUUCAGGAGCUGGAAAACAUUUUUAUUUCCUCCAAGAUUCAUCUUCUCCUCCACCCUGAAGGUUAGAAAAUACAGAGGGAGUUUAUUGCUUUCUGGAUUUUGA
rnacentral:lncRNA from 1 species